GGGCGUGGAUCAGCUCCAAGAAGCGGCACCUCACCAGCGAUUCACCGAAGGAUUUUUUAGCACUUCAGAAUUUUCGGGUUGGGCAGACGCAGGAGCGAGUUGCGGCUCCUUUGCCUCUUCACGCUUAUUGAAGAGGAGCCGCUACCAAAAUUAGGCAGCACCAAACUAACUAUCUCGUGGAAUUGAUGGCUAUUUAUACCAUCUUGAAACUUUUUAAAUAAAGAAAAGAUUUCUUUAGCCUCCAGU